CCUACGGGGGGCAGCAGUGAGGAAUAUUGGUCAAUGGGAGAGAUCCUGAACCAGCCAAGCAGCGUGAGGGAUGACGGCCCUAUGGGUUGUAAACCUCUUUUGUCGGAGAAUAAAACGCGGCACGUGUCCCGUCCUGCAUGUACCCUAAGAAUAAGCAUCGGCUAACUCCGUGCCAGCAGCCGCGGUAAUACGGAGGAUGCGAGCGUUAUCCGGAUUUAUUGGGUUUAAAGGGUGCGUCGGUGGUCCGUUAAGUCAGCGGUAAAAUUGCGGGGCUCAACCCCGGCGAGCCGUUGAAACUGGCAGACUUGAGUGGGGGAGAAGUAAGCGGAAUGCGCGGUGUAGCGGUGAAAUGCAUAGAUAUCGCGCAGAACUCCGAUUGCGAAGGCAGCGUACCGGCGUGAGACUGACGCUGAGGCACGAAAGCGUGGGGAUCGAACAGGAUUAGAUACCCGAGUAGUC
rnacentral:rRNA from 1 species